GAGAGUCUCCAAAGGGACCGCUGAGCAACGGUUCCGAGAAAGUCAGCAGUUCCGAAAUCUUAGCCCACCUCCCUCCAUGACUGCUCUUCUGAGCAAAGGUGGGAGCACGCCCCUCGCCAGCCGCCUGCGGAGCUGGGAGGACUGCCCUUCCCAAGGGAGCAGACACCCGGGCGCGGCACCCCAGCCCUGGGCGAGGGGCUCAGCGAGAGGGCCGGGCCCUGGGCAGCCAGGCAGGACCCCGGCCCGGGGCUGCUGAAUUGUGUGUUCAUCUUCAAGCCAUCGUGAGCUCUGAGCAGCCCUCACAGAAGGACUCAGCUGAAAAGUGUAAGAGCUGUACUGAGCACUGCUUUCCUAAGGCAGGAACAUUCCCGAUGAUGGUUCAGCAGGAAAGAAUCUGCCUGUAAUGCAGGAGACACAAGAGACUAGGGCUCGUUCCCUGAGUCAGGAAGAUCCCCUGG
ensembl:lncRNA